CACGUAGGGCGCAAGCGUUGUCCGGAAUUAUUGGGCGUAAAGAGCUCGUAGGCGGUGUGUCACGUCGUUCGUGAAAACCUGCAGCUUAACUGUGGGCGUGCGGUCGAUACGGGCAUCACUGGAGUUCGGCAGGGGAGACUGGAAUUCCUGGUGUAGCGGUGAAAUGCGCAGAUAUCAGGAGGAACACCGGUGGCGAAGGCGGAUCUCUGGGCCAUUACUGACGCUGAGGAGCGAAAGCGUGGGGAGCGAACAGG
rnacentral:rRNA from 1 species